UGGGUGCAUAGCUCAGCUGGAUAGAGCAACGCCCUUCUAAGGCGUGUGUCCGGGGUUCGAAUCCCUGUGCGCUCAUUUA
rnacentral:tRNA from 1 species